UGGCACCCCCUUUCGAGAGCAAAAGCUGCCUCAGGUCAGGCGCUGGCUGUUCCUUCUUUCUGUGCCUGGUCCAUCAAAGCUGAUUGAUCGAUCGAUCGAUCGAUUGAUUGGUUAAUUGGACAAAUGGAUCCUGUGGCCUCUGGGCCUAGUAAUAGCCAACGGGGCUUUAAGGUUUGCAAAGUACCUUAGGUAUAAUAAUAAUGGGCAAGGAGGGGCUCUGUGGACAAGAGAGCCAGGCCUGGAGACCGGAGAUCCCGGGUUCCGAUUUGGCCUCAGACGCAUCGUAGCUGUGGGACCUUGUCAAGUCACUUAACCCCCAUUGGCCCAUCUUUACCGCCCAUCUUCAUUGGAACUUGUAUGCAGCCUUAAUUCUAAGAUGGAAGAACCUCAAGAGAGAAGGAUGAUGGAGUGGAUAGAAUGGUGAACUUGGAACCAAGAAGACGUGGGUUCAAAUGCCAUCUUAGAUGCUAGUUGUGAAUGACCGUGGCAUAUCAUUACAUCAAAGAUUAAACUCUUCCAGUGGAAAGUUGGGUAGAAGUUCCUUAAGUGCACAGGUAAAUAGAUUUUGGAAAUAUACAGAAAUUUCUUUGGUUCUUAUAUUAUUGUCUGAAAAAUGCUGCUGGAACUGGAGUUUGAACUUGGAAAACAUAGCUGCAAAUCUGGGUGGGAAUAGAGAUUUGCUUCUUGUUUUAACUUUCAAUAGCAUAGAAAGAGUAUAUAAAGUAGGUGGCUUUUACUUGUGAUUCAGACCAUGUUCAAUGCCAAAUUCACUUUAUUGCAAUAUAAGUGCUCUUUUAUCUUUUAAUUUUAGGUUGAAUUCAUUAAGAAAUGUUGCCAAGUCAUACUGCUUGUCUUCUCAAUGGGUGAGGGAGGACCUGAAGAGAGAGACUUUGAAACUGAAUUUGUAAAAAUAAUAGUAAUAAUAAAAUAAAGAAAAAAGAAAUAUUCUCA
rnacentral:lncRNA from 1 species